rnacentral:miRNA from 1 species
AGGGACUAAUUUCAGACGGC